CACAAGUCUCCAGGAAAUAAAUCAACUUCAGUAUUUAUAGCUGAUAUUUAUGCAGCACUUUUUGUUUUUUUGAGAUUCAAAAACAAAAAGAUGAUACAUUAAUAAUACAUUCAUGUAUCCAUUCAUUACAAAUAACUGGAGGAGUGUGUGUCUGGACGGACUGGUUCGCCGUGAUGGAGCUGUGGGGAUUUUUGGGUGGAGGCUUUAAGGUCAUGUUUUUGUUGCUUAAUGUGAGAAACAGUCAAACACCAACGUGUGAGACCAACAGCUCAGUAAAGACUCACAGUUUAAAGAUUAGUCAUGGUUGGAUUAUGGCGGCACAGACGAGCAAACAUGGUUUCAGUCUGAGCUUCUUUUUCAUUCUGACUGAAAGAGUCAGAAGUGAAACUGUCUCUGUGGAACAAACUCCACAACUACAAGUGUGUAAAAAUCUAGAGUUAGACGUGAUUCAAAGCAACAGCUUGUUCUGCUGGUCUGAAUGUCGGACAUCAGAGAACUGAUGAUUGAUUAUGUCAGCAUUAAUGCAGCAUUAUCCUGUAAACCUUACACAGGAUCCAUGUUACAGCUGUUUAUUGCAGCAUAAAUCUAAUAUCAUAUUUCUUCACAUGAUUUUGCACUGAGAGCCUGACAGUCUACACUGCAGCUGCAGCAGUGCUGUGAGGGUCCUGUAGGUGGCGCAGUGCUGGCGCUUGCUUUGCCUGUUGGGUGGAGCACCAGCACCAUCAUGUGGCCCUUAUAUAAACUGCAACACAAAGUCGACUCUGAACAAACGUUUCUUUGCGGUGACGUAAUAAAGUCAUUCAGCAGGAACUAGACGAGGACAUGUUGAGAGACACAUUUAUCAGCUUCGUCUCACAGCUUGGAUCAAAGACACGACGCUGGGCCUUUAAAAUCAUUUCAGUAUUAAAGCUGCUUCUUUCAACGUCCCAGUUUCAUUUCCAGAUGGUGUUUUUAUUUAUUUUUAAAAAAAUGAAAUUAUAAAACACAGUUUUAAAGUCCAUCAAAGCGUUCUGACUUUUUUACAUGAAGACAGGACACAGACAUGGUUAAUGAUAACACCUCACACACUUGCUACAGUUCCUGCAGCCACACAGAUGUGUCAUCACUGAUGCCUGUGCUCUGCUGGAGUCUUCUCUAACACUGGAUGCAUUUAUAAGGACAACAACAUCCUGCCUAAAAUAAACUAAUGCAGGUCAUGAUGUCCACUGUGGCGUCUUCUCAGUGAUUUUGUGGUGUAAGUUUGUGUUUGCUGUCUUGAUGCAUGUUCAAUCGUCCAGGUACAGAAAUCCCAGAAAGUUGAUUCUGUUCAUGUGGAAGUAGAGAAACUUUUCAUCACUUAUCCAAGUGACUCCUUCAGUCUGCAGGUUGGAUGUUACAUAUUUAUGAUCAUGAAACUGACCUGACUGUUAGUCAGAGGUGCUUGUGUCAGUCCUGAUGUAAAUGUGCUGUUAAUAAGGUUGGAGAGCUGCAGGCAGCUGAGGCUGAAGUUGGAUGAAGGAUGAAACGUUGGUCCAUCCAGACCAACAGAAUCAAAUUUCUGGAGUUUGUGUUUGAUGGUUUCGGUUUUUCUGUUGUUUCUAUUGUUGCUAGUUUAUUCUCUUUGUUGCUGAACUUUGCCUGAUUUUAUUUUAUGUCUUUAUUUGCAAUAAACUGUAAUAAAUUUGUGGA
ensembl:lncRNA